AAGAUCAUAACAACACUGUGGAUUUAUUACCUCCUCUGGACCUUGAUUUUCUCCUGGAACCCUCAUCAUGGUGUUAGUAUAUGCAAUUAUGCUUGCUGUUACCAUCUCUGUAAUGCAUUGUUCUCACAUAGGUGCAUUAGAUGAAGUAAGUCUUGGCACUGCAUAUGUUGAUGCUGCUGCCAAGUGAGUUGCUUUAAAGGGUUCUCCAACAACAUUAAGUAUUGCAGCUCUUAACCCAAUGUCUACGCUUCUGUUGAAUAUCUGAACAAAUUACAAGGACUACCCUCAGAAAGAAAGGGCUCAAGGUUUCCCUCUGACUGUGUAUUACACUUAAAUCACACAUGGAGAUCUCCUGAUAGCAGACCUAUAGCUCCCCCUCUUUGAUUCCUACACCUGCAUGUGCAGUCCACUCAGCUGGCUACUCUUGCAAAAGAUGUGUUGUAUUCUGCAGUGUCUUUACAGGAUCAGGAGCUGUGUACUGUAUCAAAUGGUGUGUUCAAGAAACUCAGGGAAACUCUGGAACAGCCAAGGGUAUCUGUAGGUGGUGUCAUUUGGAAUACCUCAAGGCAUAAUGCUUGUUUAAUCAAGUCCAGAUAGAAAGAUCUUCCCUAAGUCUCGAACUGUAUCUGCUGUCUCCAACUGGAUAUACAGUAUCCCAGAUAAGUAAGUGGUUCUACAUAACUACGUGCCAGCAAAUGAGCUGAGCCUGUGUUAUUAAAAACUUGUAAAAAUUAAUGUGCCAGUGUUUCAUAGAUUAUUUUAAAACAUGUUUUACGCAUAAUU
rnacentral:lncRNA from 1 species